rnacentral:lncRNA from 1 species
AUUUCAGGACUGGACAGAGGAGCUGGGUAAAAAUCAUUGACCCCGAGGGCUUUGGUGAAGGAUAUCCAUCACGGUUAUCAAAAGGUGCUGCCUGAUGAUUUAGCUACAGGAAAGAAAGGCUGUCUUUAAAGAAUUGUGAGUUUUUUCUUUAGAGACCUUGCUCAUCAGGCUUGGAUUCUUACCUAGAGGAUCAACACCCACAAGAGGCAAAAAGGCAGCAGGCAUUCAAGAAUAAAAAUGUACUAUCC